AUUGAACGCUAGCGGCAUGCUUAACACAUGCAAGUCGAACGAGUGGCGGACGGGUGAGUAAUGUCUGGGAAACUGCCUGCUGGAGGGGGAUAACUACUGGAAACGGUAGCUAAUACCGCAUACCAUCGGAUGUGCCCAUAUCGGAUUAGCUAGUAGGUGGGGUAACGGCUCACCUAGGCGACGAUCCCUACCUGGUCUGAGAGGAAGACCAGCCACAAUGGAACGGAGACACGGUCCGGACUCCUACGGGAGGCAGCAGUGGGGAAUAUUGGACAAUGGGGGAAAGCCUGAUCCAGCCAUGCCGCGUGUAUGAAGAAGGCCUUCGGGUUGUAAAGUACUUUCAGCGGGGAGGCGGUAGCUGCAGAAGAAGCACCGGCUAACUACGUGCCAGCAGCCGCGGUAAUAC
rnacentral:rRNA from 1 species